GACGAACGCUGGCGGCGCGCCUAACACAUGCAAGUCGAACGAGCGAGAGAGAGCUUGCUUUCUCAAGCGAGUGGCGAACGGGUGAGUAACGCGUGAGGAACCUGCCUCAAAGAGGAGGACAACAGUUGGAAACGACUGCUAAUACCGCAUAAGCCCACGGCUCGGCAUCGAGCAGAGGGAAAAGGAGCAAUCCGCUUUGAGAUGGCCUCGCGUCCGAUUAGCUAGUUGGUGAGGUAAUGGCCCACCAAGGCGACGAUCGGUAGCCGGACUGAGAGGUUGAACGGCCACAUUGGGACUGAGACACGGCCCAGACUCCUACGGGAGGCAGCAGUGGGGAAUAUUGCACAAUGGGGGAAACCCUGAUGCAGCGACGCCGCGUGGAGGAAGAAGGUCUUCGGAUUGUAAACUCCUGUUGUUGAGGAAGAUAAUGACGGUACUCAACAAGGAAGUGACGGCUAACUACGUGCCAGCAGCCGCGGUAAAACGUAGGUCACAAGCGUUGUCCGGAAUUACUGGGUGUAAAGGGAGCGCAGGCGGGAAGACAAGUUGGAAGUGAAAUCCAUGGGCUCAACCCAUGAACUGCUUUCAAAACUGUUUUUCUUGAGUAGUGCAGAGGUAGGCGGAAUUCCCGGUGUAGCGGUGGAAUGCGUAGAUAUCGGGAGGAACACCAGUGGCGAAGGCGGCCUACUGGGCACCAACUGACGCUGAGGCUCGAAAGUGUGGGUAGCAAACAGGAUUAGAUACCCUGGUAGUCCACACUGUAAACGAUGAUUACUAGGUGUUGGAGGAUUGACCCCUUCAGUGCCGCAGUUAACACAAUAAGUAAUCCACCUGGGGAGUACGACCGCAAGGUUGAAACUCAAAGGAAUUGACGGGGGCCCGCACAAGCAGUGGAGUAUGUGGUUUAAUUCGACGCAACGCGAAGAACCUUACCAAGUCUUGACAUCCCUUGACGAUGCUGGAAACAGUAUUUCUCUUCGGAGCAAGGAGACAGGUGGUGCAUGGUUGUCGUCAGCUCGUGUCGUGAGAUGUUGGGUUAAGUCCCGCAACGAGCGCAACCCUUAUGGUCAGUUACUACGCAAGAGGACUCUGGCCAGACUGCCGUUGACAAAACGGAGGAAGGUGGGGAUGACGUCAAAUCAUCAUGCCCUUUAUGACUUGGGCUACACACGUACUACAAUGGCGUUAAACAAAGAGAAGCAAGACCGCGAGGUGGAGCAAAACUCAGAAACAACGUCCCAGUUCGGACUGCAGGCUGCAACUCGCCUGCACGAAGUCGGAAUUGCUAGUAAUCGCAGAUCAGCAUGCUGCGGUGAAUACGUUCCCGGGCCUU
rnacentral:rRNA from 1 species